rnacentral:tRNA from 1 species
GAACCUGUGAGGACUACCAAGACACUGCUAAUUUCUUGUACCAAAGUUCAACUCUUUGGCAGGUUCG